rnacentral:rRNA from 1 species
UACAGAGGUCUCAAGCGUUGUUCGGAUUCAUUGGGCGUAAAGGGUGCGUAGGUGGCGCUGUAAGUCGGGUGUGAAAUUUCGGAGCUUAACUCCGAAACUGCAUUCGAUACUGCGGUGCUUUGAGGACUGGAGAGGAGACUGGAAUUCAUGGUGUAGCAGUGAAAUGCGUAGAGAUCAUGAGGAAGACCAGUGGCGAAGGCGGGGUCUCUGGACAGUUCUGACACUGAGGCACGAAGGCCAGGGGAGCAAACGGGG